rnacentral:rRNA from 1 species
UGGGGAAUAUUGCGCAAUGGGCGGAAGCCUGACGCAGCGACGCCGCGUGGGGGAUGAAGCUUCUCGGAGUGUAAACCCCUUUCGACCCGGACGAAUGACCCGCAAGGGUUUGACGGUACGGGUAUAAGAAGCCCCGGCUAACUACGUGCCAGCAGCCGCGGUAAUACGUAGGGGGCCAGCGUUGCUCGGAAUUACUGGGCGUAAAGCGCGUGUAGGCGGUUAUCCAAGUCGGGUGUGAAAGCCUUGAGCUCAACUCAAGAAAUGCACUCGGUACUGGGUGACUAGAGGACCGGAGAGGAUAGUGGAAUUCCCAGUGUAGUGGUGAAAUACGUAGAGAUUGGGAAGAACACCAGUGGCGAAGGCGGCUAUCUGGACGGUUUCUGACGCUAAGACGCGAAAGCGUGGGGAGCAAACAGGAUUAGAUACCCUGGUAGUCCACGCCGUAAACGAUGGGUGCUAGACGUUGGCGAGCUUGCUCGUCAGUGUCGCAGCUAACGCGUUAAGCACCCCGCCUGGGGAGUACGGCCGCAAGGUUG